UCCUGACUGACCGAUAGUGAACCAGUACCGUGAGGGAAAGGCGAAAAGAACCCCGGCGAGGGGAGUGAAAAAGAACCUGAAACCGUGUACGUACAAGCAGUGGGAGCACGCUUAGGCGUGUGACUGCGUACCUUUUGUAUAAUGGGUCAGCGACUUAUAUUCUGUAGCAAGGUUAACCGAAUAGGGGAGCCGAAGGGAAACCGAGUCUUAACUGGGCGUUAAGUUGCAGGGUAUAGACCCGAAACCCGGUGAUCUAGCCAUGGGCAGGUUGAAGGUUGGGUAACACUAACUGGAGGACCGAACCGACUAAUGUUGAAAAAUUAGCGGAUGACUUGUGGCUGGGGGUGAAAGGCCAAUCAAACCGGGAGAUAGCUGGUUCUCCCCGAAAGCUAUUUAGGUAGCGCCUCGUGAAUUCAUCUCCGGGGGUAGAGCACUGUUUCGGCAAGGGGGUCAUCCCGACUUACCAACCCGAUGCAAACUGCGAAUACCGGAGAAUGUUAUCACGGGAGACACACGGCGGGUGCUAACGUCCGUCGUGAAGAGGGAAACAACCCAGACCGCCAGCUAAGGUCCCAAAGUCAUGGUUAAGUGGGAAACGAUGUGGGAAGGCCCAGACAGCCAGGAUGUUGGCUUAGAAGCAGCCAUCAUUUAAAGAAAGCGUAAUAGCUCACUGGUCGAGUCGGCCUGCGCGGAAGAUGUAACGGGGCUAAACCAUGCACCGAAGCUGCGGCAGCGACGCUUAUGCGUUGUUGGGUAGGGGAGCGUUCUGUAAGCCUGCGAAGGUGUGCUGUGAGGCAUGCUGGAGGUAUCAGAAGUGCGAAUGCUGACAUAAGUAACGAUAAAGCGGGUGAAAAGCCCGCUCGCCGGAAGACCAAGGGUUCCUGUCCAACGUUAAUCGGGGCAGGGUGAGUCGACCCCUAAGGCGAGGCCGAAAGGCGUAGUCGAUGGGAAACAGGUUAAUAUUCCUGUACUUGGUGUUACUGCGAAGGGGGGACGGAGAAGGCUAUGUUGGCCGGGCGACGGUUGUCCCGGUUUAAGCGUGUAGGCUGGUUUUCCAGGCAAAUCCGGAAAAUCAAGGCUGAGGCGUGAUGACGAGGCACUACGGUGCUGAAGCAACAAAUGCCCUGCUUCCAGGAAAAGCCUCUAAGCAUCAGGUAACAUCAAAUCGUACCCCAAACCGACACAGGUGGUCAGGUAGAGAAUACCAAGGCGCUUGAGAGAACUCGGGUGAAGGAACUAGGCAAAAUGGUGCCGUAACUUCGGGAGAAGGCACGCUGAUAUGUAGGUGAAGUCCCUUGCGGAUGGAGCUGAAAUCAGUCGAAGAUACCAGCUGGCUGCAACUGUUUAUUAAAAACACAGCACUGUGCAAACACGAAAGUGGACGUAUACGGUGUGACGCCUGCCCGGUGCCGGAAGGUUAAUUGAUGGGGUCAGCGCAAGCGAAGCUCUUGAUCGAAGCCCCGGUAAACGGCGGCCGUAACUAUAACGGUCCUAAGGUAGCGAAAUUCCUUGUCGGGUAAGUUCCGACCUGCACGAAUGGCGUAAUGAUGGCCAGGCUGUCUCCACCCGAGACUCAGUGAAAUUGAACUCGCUGUGAAGAUGCAGUGUACCCGCGGCAAGACGGAAAGACCCCGUGAACCUUUACUAUAGCUUGACACUGAACAUUGAGCCUUGAUGUGUAGGAUAGGUGGGAGGCUUUGAAGUGUGGACGCCAGUCUGCAUGGAGCCGGCCUUGAAAUACCACCCUUUAAUGUUUGAUGUUCUAACGUGGACCCGUGAUCCGGGUUGCGGACAGUGUCUGGUGGGUAGUUUGACUGGGGCGGUCUCCUCCUAAAGAGUAACGGAGGAGCACGAAGGUUGGCUAAUCCUGGUCGGACAUCAGGAGGUUAGUGCAAUGGCAUAAGCCAGCUUGACUGCGAGCGUGACGGCGCGAGCAGGUGCGAAAGCAGGUCAUAGUGAUCCGGUGGUUCUGAAUGGAAGGGCCAUCGCUCAACGGAUAAAAGGUACUCCGGGGAUAACAGGCUGAUACCGCCCAAGAGUUCAUAUCGACGGCGGUGUUUGGCACCUCGAUGUCGGCUCAUCACAUCCUGGGGCUGAAGUAGGUCCCAAGGGUAUGGCUGUUCGCCAUUUAAAGUGGUACGCGAGCUGGGUUUAGAACGUCGUGAGACAGUUCGGUCCCUAUCUGCCGUGGGCGCUGGAGAACUGAGGGGGGCUGCUCCUAGUACGAGAGGACCGGAGUGGACGCAUCACUGGUGUUCGGGUUGUCAUGCCAAUGGCACUGCC
rnacentral:rRNA from 2 species